UCAGGCCUAACACAUGCAAGUCGAACGGUAACGCGGGGCAACCUGGCGACGAGUGGCGAACGGGUGAGUAAUGCAUCGGAACGUGCCCGGUAGUGGGGGAUAACUGCUCGAAAGAGCAGCUAAUACCGCAUACGACCUGAGGGUGAAAGGGGGGGAUCGCAAGACCUCUCGCUAUCGGAGCGGCCGAUGUCGGAUUAGCUAGUUGGUGGGGUAAAGGCCCACCAAGGCAACGAUCCGUAGCUGGUCUGAGAGGACGACCAGCCACACUGGGGGUGAGA
rnacentral:rRNA from 1 species